AGAGUUUGAUCCUGGCUCAGGAUGAACGCUGGCGGCGUGCUUAACACAUGCAAGUCGAACGGGAACCCCUGGACUCGUCUGGGGGGGAGAGUGGCGAACGGGUGAGUAACACGUUGGUGACCUGCCUCGAAGAUGGGAAUAACCACUGGAAACGGUGGCUAAUACCUAAUGUGCUCGGUGAUUCGUUUCGUCGAGUAAAGCUCCGGCGCUUCGAGAGGGGCCUGCGGCCCAUCAGCUAGUUGGUAGGGUAAUGGCCUACCAAGGCGAAGACGGGUAGGGGACGUGAGAGCGUGACCCCCCACACUGGCACUGAGACACGGGCCAGACUCCUACGGGAGGCAGCAGUGAGGAAUAUUGCCCAAUGGGCGAAAGCCUGAGGCAGCAACGCCGCGUGGGUGAUGAAGGCCUUCGGGUCGUAAAACCCUUUUCUGGGGGAAGAGAAAGGACGGUACCCCAGGAAUAAGUCUCGGCUAACUAUGUGCCAGCAGCCGCGGUAAGACAUAGGAGACAAGCGUUAUCCGGAUUUACUGGGCGUAAAGAGCGUUGAGGCGGCUUUGUAAGUUGGACGUGAAAGCUCCUGGCUUAACUGGGAGAGGUCGUUCAAUACUGCAGGGCUUGAGGGCAGCAGAGGGGGAUGGAAUUCCCGGUGUAGUGGUGAAAUGCGUAGAUAUCGGGAGGAACACCAGUGGCGAAGGCGGCCCCCUGGGCUGCUCCUGACGCUGAAUGCGAAAGCUAGGGGAGCAAACGGGAUUAGAAACCCCGGUAGUCCUAGCCGUAAAACGAUGGAUACUAGGUGUAGGGGGUUAGAAACCCCCUCUGUGCCGAAGCUAACGCGUUAAGUAUCCCGCCUGGGGACUACGGCCGCAAGGCUAAAACUCAAAGGAAUUGACGGGGGCCCGCACAAGCAGCGGAGCGUGUGGUUUAAUUCGAUUCAACGCGAAGAACCUUACCAGGGCUUGACAUGCAGGUAGUAGUGAAGCGAAAGCGGAACGAUCCUCCGGGAAGCCUGCGCAGGUGCUGCAUGGCUGUCGUCAGCUCGUGCCGUGAGGUGUUAGGUUAAGUCCUGUAACGAGCGCAACCCUCGCCGUUAGUUACAAGUGUCUAGCGGGACUGCCCGGCUCAACUGGGAGAAAGGUGGGGAUGACGUCAAGUCAGCAUGGCCUUUAUGUCCUGGGCUACACACACGCUACAAUGGCCGGUACAAUGGGUCGCCAAGCCGUGAGGCGGAGCCAAUCCUCUAAAGCCGGUCUCAGUUCGGAUUGUAGGCUGCAACUCGCCUGCAUGAAGCUGGAGUUGCUAGUAACCGCAGGUCAGCCACACUGCGGUGAAUACGUUCCCGGGCCUUGUACACACCGCCCGUCACGUCAUGGGAGCUGGUAACACCUGAAGCCAGUGAAAGCUAACCUAACGGAGGCAGCUGUCGAAGGUGGGACUGGUGACUGGGACGAAGUCGUAACAAGGUA
rnacentral:rRNA from 1 species